rnacentral:tRNA from 1 species
GUCUCCUUAGCUCAGCUGGAUAGAGCGACCCCCUCCUAAGGGGUAGGCCAGAGGUUCGAAUCCUCUAGGAGACGCCA